UACGAAGGGGGCUAGCGUUGUUCGGAAUCACUGGGCGUAAAGCGCACGUAGGCGGAUUUGUUAGUCAGGGGUGAAAUCCCGGGUCUCAACCUCGGAACUGCCUUUGAUAAUGCAAAUCUCGAGUCCGGAAGAGGUGAGUGGAAUUCCUAGUGUAGAGGUGAAAUUCGUAGAUAUUAGGAAGAACACCAGUGGCGAAGGCGGCUCACUGGUCCGGUACUGACGCUGAGGUGCGAAAGCGUGGGGAGCAAACAGG
rnacentral:rRNA from 1 species